GACGAACGCUGGCGGCGUGCCUAAUACAUGCAAGUAGAACGCACAGUUUAUACCGUAGCUUGCUACACCAUAAACUGUGAGUUGCGAACGGGUGAGUAACGCGUAGGUAACCUGCCUGGUAGCGGGGGAUAACUAUUGGAAACGAUAGCUAAUACCGCAUAAUAUUGAUUAUUGCAUGAUAAUUGAUUGAAAGAUGCUAUUGCAUCACUACCAGAUGGACCUGCGUUGUAUUAGCUAGUAGGUGAGGUAACGGCUCACCUAGGCGACGAUACAUAGCCGACCUGAGAGGGUGAUCGGCCACACUGGGACUGAGACACGGCCCAGACUCCUACGGGAGGCAGCAGUAGGGAAUCGUCGGCAAUGGACGAAAGUCUGACCGAGCAACGCCGCGUGAGUGAAGAAGGUUUUCGGAUCGUAAAGCUCUGUUGUAAGAGAAGAACGGGUGUGAGAGUGGAAAGUUCACACUGUGACGGUAUCUUACCAGAAAGGGACGGCUAACUACGUG
rnacentral:rRNA from 1 species